GUAACAAGGUUUCCGUAGGUGAACCUGCGGAAGGAUCAUUAA
rnacentral:rRNA from 5 species